rnacentral:rRNA from 1 species
UACGUAGGGCGCAAGCGUUGUCCGGAAUUAUUGGGCGUAAAGAGCUCGUAGGCGGUUUGUCGCGUCUGCUGUGAAAACCUAAGGCUCAACCUUGGGCUUGCAGUGGGUACGGGCAGACUAGAGUGCGGUAGGGGUGACUGGAAUUCCUGGUGUAGCGGUGAAAUGCGCAGAUAUCAGGAGGAACACCGGUGGCGAAGGCGGGUCUCUGGGCAACAACUGACGCUGAGGAGCGAAAGCGUGGGGAGCGAACAGG